CAGCACGCGGUGGGAGAAGCGGGGGCCUGCCCCUGCUGCCGAAGGCGCAAUCGCCCGGAAUCGCUCAGGCGCAAUACCGCCCCGUGCUG
rnacentral:ncRNA from 2 species